rnacentral:antisense_RNA from 1 species
AACCCCAGCUCCAGGGGCUCAGCAGGCAAAGCGAAUCACUGGGUGGGGGCACCACCCGGGGACUCCAAUAUCUCACCUGUCCCUCCACAGGUUGGAGGUGGGAGGAACAACCCCCACCAAACCCAGAGCCGAAAACUGAGGGAGUUUUAAAGACAGGACGGAGCUCCUGCACCUCGGAGCCUCAGUUGGGGAUGACCUGGGGUCUUGUCCUGAAGCUGAGUCUGGUGAACGUGCCCCAUUUGUAGCAUGAGGGGUACUUCUCUGGAGGGACUGUAUGUUGACAGUGGCAGAGUGGAGCCCUCAAGUCCACCUGAGUGAAUAUACCAGGGCUUGAGAA